UGGGGAAUCUUGCGCAAUGGGCGAAAGCCUGACGCAGCCAUGCCGCGUGAAUGAUGAAGGUCUUAGGAUUGUAAAAUUCUUUCACCGGGGACGAUAAUGACGGUACCCGGAGAAGAAGCCCCGGCUAACUUCGUGCCAGCAGCCGCGGUAAUACGAAGGGGGCUAGCGUUGCUCGGAAUUACUGGGCGUAAAGGGCGCGUAGGCGGAUCGUUAAGUCAGAGGUGAAAUCCCAGGGCUCAACCCUGGAACUGCCUUUGAUACUGGCGAUCUUGAGUAUGAGAGAGGUAUGUGGAACUCCGAGUGUAGAGGUGAAAUUCGUAGAUAUUCGGGAGAACACCAGUGGCGAAGGCGACAUACUGGCUCAUUACUGACGCUGAGGCGCGAAAGCGUGGGGAGCAAACAGG
rnacentral:rRNA from 1 species